UACGUAGGGGGCAAGCGUUGUCCGGAUUUAUUGGGCGUAAAGAGCGUGUAGGCGGCUUGGAAGGUCAGCUGUGAAAACUCGAGGCUCAACCUCGAGACGUCGGUUGAAACCACCUGGCUAGAGUCCGGAAGAGGAGAGUGGAAUUCCCGGUGUAGCGGUGAAAUGCGCAGAUAUCGGGAAGAACACCGGUGGCGAAGGCGGCGACCUGGGUCGACACUGACGCUGAGGCGCGAAAGCGUGGGGAGCAAACAGG
rnacentral:rRNA from 1 species